CCUACGGGAGGCAGCAGUGGGGAAUUUUGGACAAUGGGCGCAAGCCUGAUCCAGCAAUGCCGCGUGAGUGAAGAAGGCCUUCGGGUUGUAAAGCUCUUUUGUCAGGGAAGAAACGGUGGGAGCUAAUAUCUCCCGCUAAUGACGGUACCUGAAGAAUAAGCACCGGCUAACUACGUGCCAGCAGCCGCGGUAAUACGUAGGGUGCAAGCGUUAAUCGGAAUUACUGGGCGUAAAGCGUGCGCAGGCGGUUUUGUAAGUCUGUCGUGAAAGCCCCGGGCUCAACCUGGGAAUUGCGAUGGAGACUGCAAGGCUUGAAUCUGGCAGAGGGGGGUAGAAUUCCACGUGUAGCAGUGAAAUGCGUAGAGAUGUGGAGGAACACCGAUGGCGAAGGCAGCCCCCUGGGUCAAGAUUGACGCUCAUGCACGAAAGCGUGGGGAGCAAACAGGAUUAGAUACCCUGGUAGUCCACGCCCUAAACGAUGUCUACUAGUUGUCGGGUUUUAAUUAACUUGGUAACGCAGCUAACGCGUGAAGUAGACCGCCUGGGGAGGUACGGUCGCGAGAAGUAAACUUAAAUAGAGUAGAGCGUGAGAGUGACGACGACGACGACGAGGGAGGAGG
rnacentral:rRNA from 1 species